UGCCAGACUCCUACGGGAGGCAGCAGUGGGGAAUAUUGCACAAUGGGGGAAACCCUGAUGCAGCGACGCCGCGUGAGCGAUGAAGUAUUUCGGUAUGUAAAGCUCUAUCAGCAGGGAAGAAGAUGACGGUACCUGACUAAGAAGCCCCGGCUAACUACGUGCCAGCAGCCGCGGUAAUACGUAGGGGGCAAGCGUUAUCCGGAUUUACUGGGUGUAAAGGGAGCGUAGACGGCGGCGCAAGCCAGAUGUGAAAGCCCGGGGCUCAACUCCGGGACUGCAUUUGGAACUGUGUGGCUGGAGUGUCGGAGAGGCAGGCGGAAUUCCUAGUGUAGCGGUGAAAUGCGUAGAUAUUAGGAGGAACACCAGUGGCGAAGGCGGCCUGCUGGACGAUGACUGACGUUGAGGCUCGAAAGCGUGGGGAGCAAACAGGAUUAGAUACCCCCGUAAA
rnacentral:rRNA from 1 species